UUCUAUGGAAGUACUCCAAGAAGAAGAAGAAGCUAAGCAACAGAAUGCAAUUCUCUGAGGCAUUGAUUUACAUGUAUGUGCAUAUAAAGAGCAGCCAGCAAUUAUUUCAUGACGAGAGCUUGUUACCAAAUGAAAGGAAAGUGCAGUAUUAGAAUCACUGAAGUUCAUGUUACGACGAACAUGUAGGUGCAAAUCUAGAUGUCCUGUAAAAAAACCUGGUAUCAAAGAACUGAAAAGUAAAGAAACAGAACCAAAGAACAUUCAUUUUAAAUUAAUACAAUAGUGAAC